rnacentral:lncRNA from 1 species
UGAAUCUCUUCAUCUCCUCAGAUACUGAGGUAAGUCUCCUGUCUUCCUACAGGACACAGCCAAGAAUCUAUUCUUCAGCUCAGAUACCACGUUAAAGCUGCUUAUGUCUUCCUACAGGAAAGGGCCAUGCAUUUGCCCGUCUCCAGGGAUACUAAGGACUGAACCAUGCAUCUGUUCAUCUCAUGGACACUAAGACAAGUUUCCUGACGUCUUCCUACAGCAUAGAGCUAUGCAUCUAUUAAUCUGCCUCGGUGUACUGCUUUAAUUCUUACGUCUUCCCACAGAACACGGCCAUGUAUCUGUUGUUCAUCUCCUCAUGUAUUAAGGACACAGCCAGGAAUCUAUUCAUCCACUAGGAUACCAAGAUAAGGUUGCUUUUGAGGUUGUUCAUCUGCAGGGAUACUAAUGUAAGGCUGCGGAUUCCCCACACCGUGAAACUCAGGACCUCGUGCUUGUGAGGAAGGCAAAGCGACACUGAGCUACCUCCCACCCGCUGAUGUCUUCCUACAAGACAGGGCCAUGUUUUCAGAUGCUAAGGUAAGGCUCAUUCUGUCUUCACAGAGGACAUGGCCAUCCAUUUGUUCAACUCCUCAUAUACUCAGGUAAAUCUGCUGAUGCCUUCCUGCAGGACAGGGCCAUGCUUUUGUUCAUGUGCUGGGAUACUAAGGUAAGUCUGCUUCUGCUUUCCUUCAGGACAGAGCUGUGCUUCUGUUCAUUUGUUGGUAAUUGUCCUUCUGUUUUCCUACAGGACAGAGCCAGACAUCUAUUCAACAGCUCAGAUACUAAGGUAAGGCUGCUGAUGUCUUCCUACAGGACAGGGCCAUGCAACUUUUUAUCUCAUGGACACAAAGACAAGUCUCAACGUCUUCAUACAGGAGAGAGCCAUGUAUCUGUUCAUCUGCCUAGGACACAGCCCGGAAUGUAUUCAUCAGCUCAGAUACUAACUAAGGUAGGGAUGCUGAUGUCUUCCUACAGGACAGAGGCAUGCAUACGUUUUCCUGCACAGAUUCUAAGGACAGAUCCAUGCAUGUCUUCAUCUGCUUGGGUAUCAUGA